rnacentral:rRNA from 1 species
CCUUCGGGUGACAGCAGUGGGGAAUAUUGCACAAUGGGGGAAACCCUGAUGCAGCACCGCCGCGUGAGGGAAGAAGGAUUUCGUUUUGUAAACUUCUAUCAUCAGGGAAGAAAAUGACGGUACCUGAGUAAUAAGCCCCGGCUAACUACGUGCCAGCAGCCGCGGUAAUACGUAGGGGGCAAGCGUUAUCCGGAUUUACUGGGUGUAAAGGGCGCGUAGCCGGGAGUGCAAGUCUGGAGUGAAAGGCGGGGGCUCAACCCCCGGACUGCACUGGAAACUGUCCUGCUGGAGUGCAGGAGAGGUAGGUGGAAUUCCUAGUGUAGCGGUGAAAUGCGUAGAUAUUAGGAGGAACACCAGUGGCGAAGGCGGCUUACUGGACUGUAACUGACGUUGAGGCUCGAAAGCGUGGGGAGCAAACAGGAUUAGAUACCCUGGUAGUC